rnacentral:lncRNA from 1 species
AGACAACAGCCGAAGGCCACCAAUGGGUCUUCAAUGUAGCGAGAAUUCCCGCACCCGUAGGUGUCCUUCAGCUGGCCCCUAAAAAUAUGUAUACUAGUACAGUGAUAAUGGACGUCAUACUAAACUCCGAAUUAUACACAAGAAACUAAAAAUUAAAAAUCAUACAAGACGAACAAAGGCCAGAGUCUCCUGACUUGGGACAGGCUCAAAAUUGCGGCGGGGUUAAACAUGUUUAUGAGAUCUCAACC